AUUCCCAGCCAUCUGGUGCCUCACCAGCUGCUCUUGGUGCAGGAUGAAACUUAUCUCAAUUCAGCGACCCAGGCCUCAGGCAGUGGGGUGGAAGGAGCAUCGCUGGCCUCACAGAUGUUGGAAAUUGGACGAAUCUCUCGUGGUAUCUCCCUGUUUGGUCAGCACAAACAGAGCGUUUCCUCAGCCGUGCACUGGAGAAAGACUUGGAUCAUCCCUGUUUGUCCCAUGCAGUGGCUCAUCGGAUGUUUCUAGAGAAGCUUCUGCGAUGUCCUUCCUUCAACAAACCUUGCACUGGGGGCACCUGGACUGGCAGCUUUGCUGAUGGAAAGAAAAUGCUGUCUGGAUGGCUGGUUCCCAUGGAGAGCAAGGAAUGUGGCUCCUCCAGUUCAUCCGGGACUCUCUUCCCACAUCGGUUGCUAAUGAAGGAGAGUGUUGUGUUUCAAGAUCCCUUCCUGCUGCAAGACUCUGGAACUGUUAGAGAACAUGGUGAAAGAAGUCAACCCUCACUCCACAGACUCAUUCCAAAGCAUAUAUUAAAGGCUGCCCAGACAACAUUAAUACUUCUAGCAAUGUGACCUCGAGAAUGACCUCUGGAGCAUGAAGCUUACAGGGGAGGAAAGUGAUGGAGCUUUCUUGAUGCGGGGGAAAAAGGUGAAGGAAAAAGCCAAGUAAGCACAUCGUUGUAGAAAGGAGACGGAGCUCCACGCCUGGAUGCCACGCAGUGCCUCCCCAUCCUGUCUCCAAGGAGCACUGUUGCUUUCAGAUACGCAGGGCUGUUCACUGUUGGCAGCAUGCACACGUGCCUUGCACACAGCCCAUGGCACAGACACCAGUGCAAGGAUGGAGGUGCACCUUUGGAGGUACAGGCGAAGCUCUAACAUCUUCAGGAGAAC
rnacentral:lncRNA from 1 species